rnacentral:tRNA from 1 species
UAGGGCGUGGCCCAAUUGGUAGGGCAUCUGGUUUUGGUCCAGACGGUUGUAGGUUCGAGUCCUACCGCCCUAGCCA